AGGGAAAUAGCUCAGUGGUAGAGUGCAAUGCUUAGCAUGCACAAGGUCCUGGGUUCAAUCCCCAGUACCUCCA
rfam:Camelus ferus unplaced genomic scaffold scaffold1118, whole genome shotgun sequence.